rnacentral:rRNA from 1 species
GCCAGCAGCCAUAUCACCUUGCAGCUCACGACUGGCAACCCACGCAAGCUAAGCAGGUGUGAGCCUAGUCAGUACCUGGUUGGGAGCAGUCCUGGGAAAAACUACGGUUGCUGCUAGAA